AGAGAGAGAGAGAGAGAGAGAGAGAGAGAGAGAGAGAGAGAGAGAGAGAUUGGCGGUGUGACAGAGGGAUUAUGAUAGAAGGAAAGAACAUGGAAGGGAGGAGGAAGAGGGGAUGUGAGGGGGUGUAAGAAGAAGAAAAGGAAGCAGGAGGGGAUGUGCAUAAGAGUGCAGUUAUAACAGAUGGUGACAGAGCAGGGAAGAGAGGACAGAGCAACAAUAUCCAGAGGAGAUUCAUUCCAGACUAAGGAUCAUUCUUAAGAUGCAAAUGAAGAAAACAUGUCAUUAAUGGUUCAUUAGACAUCCUAUAACAUUUAAGUUGACGGUUUUCAAUAUUUUAACAUGCAGAUGUGCUACAACUGCUCUCCUUCUCCCUCUAACAGUGAUUAGCUAAUGUGCUACAUGGAAAAACAGUUGUGUAGAUUGCCUGUCAUAUUCUGGGCAAAAUCAUAUGUGAAUAAAUGUUGAUUUUUUUGGCUGCUUUUUAAGAUUAUAAAUUAAAAUAUUCAAAGGUGUCCCCCC